AGAAGUGACUGCUGGAAAGGAGCACAUGUCAUUUUCUACUCACUUUCCACGGGUGAGUGCAAACCAUGAUGUCGAUUUUGAUGCCAAGGUAUAGGAAGAGGCAAACUACCUUAGAGAAGAUACUAAUGUGGGAAAAGUUACAUUUGCUUCCCUUCUUUGGACGGAAAUACUGAAAUGGUUUCAUAGUGAUAUAAUUAGAAAUCUAUGAAAAUCACAACAUGUGGAGGGUUUUUAGGUAGAUAGCUUGCACCCAUGCUCUCUUUAAAAAUAUCAUGAAAAAAAAAGUCUUAAAACUGAUUUCACAGAGAGGCAUUAAAUAUAAUAGUUUAUGUAAAACAAAAUGAAAUGCCAGUUAAUGUGCUAGAUUUACUGCGAAAACAGAAUUACAUCAAUUGGCCAAAGCUGCAGGGAUAUGAAUGAAAAGAAAUCAGGCAGGUCUUAUCAAUAAGAAACUAUUUUUAUAUUGCUCUCCUGCAGUAUGCAUCAAACCAAUACCCUAUUGGUAUUGGACAGCUAACUUGUACUUUCCACUUUGAGAAUAAGAUAAAAGUUAUUACAGAACAUAAGGACAUUUCUGUAGAUUCUUCAAGAAGUAGGUGUCCUGAAUUAGUUAUAAAACUCGGAUUUACAAAGAAUAGAAAUAAAAUGUAUUGAUGGUGACAGAACUAGUUUUUAGAAGGUCUCUUGAAUUAAGUUAAAAGUUUGCAAAGCUCUAUAGGGUCUGUAUUAGAGAAUGACACACAUAUACAAUAGCCUUUUAGUGAGGUCAUCCUGUCUUCAGUGUGAAGGAACCCAGGGUUAGGGUAUGAAGUGACUUGUCUAGGAAGUGACAGAGCUGAGAUUCAAACCCAUGUUCCUACACCAAGUCCACUGGCUACUUUGCUGGCAUGAAUUGGUUUCCAGUACACAUUUCCAAAUCCUACCACAGUUUUCCUUCCUGGAAAAGAGGGAAGAAAGUGAUGGAAAUUCUUAUCUGAAAAAGCUCAUGGACUCAAUUAGUCCCAGGAGUGGUCCAGUUAUGUCGACUGCCUCAGUGUGCUAAGCCCCAGAAUCUUCACGGGCAGAAUCUAAGGUUUUGGUUAUCCAUAGUACUUUACCGAUGGGAAAUCAUCCAACGCCUACGUCAUUUAGAUCCUGUACAGUUCAGAAUCAAUAUUUACUCUACCAACAGUAAUUCUGAACACAUCUCAACCUUUCAGCUUCUGUGAUGCCCAUUUCCUCUUUUCCUUCUCUCUCAUCCUCACGUUUAUUCUCUUCAUGAUCAGUUUUGGAGCUUUAGAUCCUCCAUGGUGUCAUUGCAGAGCUCACAGGCUGCUUCACAGAUAAUUUUUCCUUGCUUCCUUCCUUCCUUCCUUCCUUCCUUCCUUCCUUCCUUCCUUCCUUCUUUUCUUCUUCCCUUCUCCCUUCCUCCCCUCCCUCCCUUCCUCCCACUUUCCUCUCUAUUUCUCUCUCUGUUUCUCUCUCCCUGCCUUUCUCUCUCUCUCUCUCUCUCUCUAUCUCUCUCUCUCUCUCUCUCUCUCUCUCUCUCUCUCUCUCUCUCUCUCUUUCUUUUCAAGAGAGGGUUUUUUGUAUAAUCCUGGUGCCCAUACUGGGACUUACUUUUAGAGCAGGCUGGCCUCAAACUCACAGAUCCAUGUGCCUCUCUACCUCUGGAGUAUUGGGAUUAAAGGUGUGUACCACCACCACUACCCAGUCAGAUACAUCCUCUCAGCAUCUAAAAUAUGGGAUGGAAACUUCAGUGUUCCUUAGGCCUAUGCGAAACAAACUUUGAAAAGGAUUCCAGUGAGUAUGGCUUGACCCUGCCUCACCUGGACUCAUCAUUGGCAAAGGACAUGUCAACUAUGACUCCCCGGGCCUUCCAUCACUUUCUCUCUUUCUUCUGCCUACAUCAGGAAAGCACAUUAAAAACUACAGUUUACCAAUAUGGAACUACUGCAGACAGUGGGAAGUUGCUCGAUAGUAGGAUAGAAGCAGAAAACAUUUGGAUUGUCACAGCUGCACUCCCUGAAUAACGAAUGGGAACUUGACCAGAAACACAACUGUGGUGCCAUUCUAUUUCAGAAGAAUGGCAAUACCACAUACACAUUAUACGAAUAGGCCUACAGCCCAGGCUGUUUUACUUAUUAAAGGCAUUGAGAGAACCCAGUCUUUGGCAUACUUUAAUUUUAUACAUUACCACACACACAUACGUAUGAUCCUUUAAGGAUACAGUGAAAAUGAGUUUUGCAAAUGUGAGUAACUUCUAAGAAUAUUUCCCAAACCAUAUUUUGAGGGUUUCCAGUAGCAGAAGGUGUUGUGAGAAGACCUAAGGUUAAAUUCUUGGGGUAAAUAUUUCAUAUUAACACAUCCCUGGAGAGGCAGGAUCUAUGUGAAAGUCUUCCUUUCAAUCAGCAUUACCCAAAUACAUUUGGUCACGGAAUGCUUCAAGCACACACACACAACAGAAGACAAUGGAAAAGUCAGGAGGGUAGCACAGGAUGUUUGACAAUAUGAUCUGAAAGGCCCUCCUUGGAAUACAUUUUGGAAACCAGUGACCAAAAUCAUUAUAAAACUGCAUACAUUUGUCUUACACCCCUGAUGGGGCAGGAAAUUCUUCCAGUGUGUCCCUGCUGCGCUGAGUUAGCUUUUUCAAGUUUCAUGGGGGGAGCCAAGAGCUUUAAGCUACUUUCACAUGGAAAAUAGAUCAAAACCUACUGAAUAAAUACGUUUCUUGAUUCAAGUAGAGACUUUUCGGAUUCAAAGAAAAAAACAUCUUCCCAACAUAAAUUCAUUAGUUUGCUUUAAAAAUUGAUCAUUGCAUACUGACUGUAAGACUAUUACUCACAAGGAAAUGUGUAUGCAUGGAAAACAGAGGCAAACAAGAGAGAGUAUCCUUUCUCGGGGUUAAUGAAAUCCUGCCUGCUGGUUUUCCUGAAUUUUACUUUUCUGACAUGGAAACUGAGGUAAUAUUACAGUCUUUUCAGGACUGUUUGAAAAAAAAAUAUAUAUAUAUAUAAAAUAGUUCCCUGAAAAUAGUUUCACCAUUUCUCAAUAUAUUUCAAUUAAAUUAAUUCAUUAGAAUUCAUGUUAAUUUAGGGUAAAUUUGGUGAGCUUCUACUGAAUGAAGGACAUCCUUCUAGGUGCUGAGGAUAAGGCUGGUAAGCUAAGUAGAAUUAAGCUGAAACAGAAGAGAAAGAAACAGAGCUCGGUGGACAUGCAUGGCUGCUUUUCUUUCCCAGAAUCACAAUUUCUUCAAUAACUAGAACAUGGACUUGCCAUAAUCAGAGAAAAUUCUUCAGCUUACUUAAUUAGUAGAUCCACUGAGGCAUUGCUCCUUUUGAAGCACAAGGCUUCACACGUGCUUCCUAGGAACUGAUUCCUGAAGUCCAGGAAGAAGAGGGUCACAUGCUCCCACCACCUCAAGUCACCUCUCCUGCAGGAAGAGUCUCAAUGCUUUGCCAGAAUGCACAAGCCUGUAAUGCCUCCCCCAUAACCUGAUAUCAUGAGAGCUGCGAGAGGCUGCCUAGGCUUAUGUGCCUUCCAUGAGGAAAAUAAUUAGAUUUGAAAUAAAGAGACGUCUACUAGCUGCUUUUUCUAAGUUCCAAUGCUCGUGAAGAGCCUCGAAAAAGUAUCCCUGUGCUGCCAAGCCUAGUCCCAGACCUGUCCUAAUGGUAGAUAUUUUUGAGCUAGCGGUGCAUGCAAGGACAAAUCUACUUUGGAUGUGGAUGAGUAAACAACUGGGACUAUCAAAGUAUGAAUUUCUCAAACAACAACCAGCUUCUCCCUUUCUAUUCCAAUUCCCAUCACUGUUUCAAGGUUUGGGAAAUAAUCCAAACCUGAGUACUUAUACGUCUAUAAACACUUUCCUACUAUACUCAGACAUGUGUGUGUGUGUUUGUGUGUGUGUGUAUAUGUGUGUGUAUGUGUAUGUGUGUAUGUGUGUGUGUGUGUGUGUGUGUGUUCAUGAGCUAUGCAUGAGUGCAUGCAUCCUUUUGCAUGUGUACAGGGACUUUUGCGUAAAGUGGGUUGCUUACAAGACUCAUCCUCAGACAGUGGUUCACCAUAUCCAUUGAGGCAGGGUCUUAGUCAAACUCAGAAAUUAUUUAUUAGACUAGUUUUGCUAGCCAGCUUGCUCUGGGGAUCUCCUGUUUCUGUCUUCUGAGAGUGGAAUUGUAGACAAGCUACCAUACCGACCUAACAUUGGUAUGCCUUGUUCAGAUUUAAAUUCAGGUCCUCAAAUUUGCCUGGCAAGUGCUGUAACCACUGAGCAAUCUUCCCAGUCUCUUGUUUGUAUUUCUAAGGUUGUCAUUGGUUCAACAACUGUCAAACGGUAGUAAUAGGCAAUCAUUCACCUGACCAUAUCUUCAGUUCAUGCUAAUUAUACAAGAAGGAAUAUAGGUAUAUGCAUUAAUAUUAAGUUAAAUGUGCUUAAAAGGAUUCUUCAGACUUCUAAUUCCUAUUAAAUUUCUUUCUUGUACUUUUACACAAACUGUAUUUUACAUAACAUCAUUUGCCCACACAUUAUGUUCUUAUUAAAUUUAAUUGACAACAAGGAGGAAAAAAAUAUGAGUUGCCAAUUUGAGGGAAUUAGUACUUAAGUAAAUAAAAAUCAAACCUGCCCCCCACACUGAACAACUAAAGAAGGAUCCACAAAGAGCCAUAGUCAAAACAAGAUCAUUAAAGUACAAAAUGUACUUUGAUUAUUUAUCUUGACCAGUGUUGUUUGAGUUGAAUUAUUUAUGAUAAUAAUAUCCUUAUAAAUGUACAGUAGGCUAUUUUCUGUGGUAAUGAAGUUUAAGUAAUGUGAAUAGCCAACACAUUACUCUGUGCUUGCAAGCCUUUUCUGAGAAAAGCUAGAUGGAGUAUCUCAGCACAUUCCAUUUAUCUUAUGAUGUCACAAUGCGUUCAUGAGAGUUUUGAACAUUGAUAAGUAACCAGAAUGGAAACUGUCUCGCGCUGUGCACAGACGUGUAAAAGGGGACUUGAGUAGUCCCUAAAAUCACGAGUUUCUUCAUAUGUUCUGCUAUGUCAUAAAGAAGUACAAGAGUCACAGGGUUACAGAAGUUUCCACUGAAAUUUCCAAAACGAGACUGUAAGUCAAAGAGCUUGUGGCAACAUCUGAACCUUUAGCUCCUGUGACCAGAGAAAAUAGAGUGAAGCUGUGAAAAGGAAGUUAGAGUUUCACUGGAGCAGAGAAAAACCAAAGAUACAAGCAUCAUGGAAUACCCACUGAGGGACACGACAGGCUAUGUGCAAAGCCAGCGCAAGAGAGUGCAUUUGAAUCUUGUAACCUCAGAGCCAAAAGGGUGAGGCCACCAAAGCCCAAGUCUCAUUACAGUAUCUCUCCAGAUACAGGUACCAAUAAAAGAUGCAGUAACCUCCAAA